UGGGGAAUAUUGGACAAUGGGCGCAAGCCUGAUCCAGCAAUGCCGCGUGGGUGAAGAAGGCCUUCGGGUUGUAAAGCCCUUUUGUACGGGAAGAAAUCCUGUCGGUUAAUACCCGGCGGGGAUGACGGUACCGUAAGAAUAAGCACCGGCUAACUUCGUGCCAGCAGCCGCGGUAAUACGAAGGGUGCAAGCGUUAAUCGGAAUUACUGGGCGUAAAGCGUGCGUAGGCGGUUGGCUAAGUCAGAUGUGAAAGCCCUGGGCUCAACCUGGGAAUGGCAUUUGAAACUGGCCGGCUAGAGUGUGAUAGAGGAUGGCGGAAUUCCCGGUGUAGCGGUGAAAUGCGUAGAGAUCGGGAGGAACAUCCGUGGCGAAGGCGGCCAUCUGGAUCAACACUGACGCUGAGGCACGAAAGCGUGGGGAGCAAACAG
rnacentral:rRNA from 1 species